AUAGGUUGUAGAUCCUUGAUGAUGCGUUGGAGAGGUUUUAGUUCGUGAGAACUUUGGGGUUUGAUUCUGCAAACCAACUUCCAGGAGCAUCAGAUGAGCAUCUGACAAAGACCUGCUCCUCCUCAUGUCCAGGUCACCUGGCUAGUGGCUUGGCAUGAGCAACUCUAAGGCUGGUAACUAUGAUAACAACCUUGCAGAACCUGUGUGUGUGUGUCUGUUUGAAUGAAU